UACGUAGGGUGCGAGCGUUGUCCGGAAUUAUUGGGCGUAAAGAGCGCGUAGGCGGUCCGCUAAGUCGGCUGUGAAAGUCAGGGGCUCAACCCUUGGAAGCCGGCCGAUACUGUCGGACUAGAGUACGGAAGAGGCAAGUGGAAUUCCUGGUGUAGCGGUGGAAUGCGCAGAUAUCAGGAGGAACACCUAUAGCGAAGGCAGCUUGCUGGGACGUUACUGACGCUAAGGCGCGAAAGCGUGGGGAGCGAACAGG
rnacentral:rRNA from 1 species